GAACACCUGUGUGAGAACUGAAGGUGAUAAGGAAAAUUUCAAUACAUCACUCCUUCCUAUUGUCAAGUGCAGCAUCUUGGCAUCAAUCAUCUUAGUGCAACUACACAUUCUGGGAUCUGUUUGCAAUCAGGCAAAUGAAGCAACAAGGGAGACUUAGCGGAGCUGAUGUUCAUGAGAAGGGGCUAAUGUCUCUCCACACCAAAAGAAAACAGGCCAACAGGAGACAGCUAUUCAUUGCCAGCAGUGGGAAGAGGGAAAAAACACACAAUAACUCCUGCCAUCUUUUCAACU